AUGUUUAANGAGAGCAGGCAUAAUUUUAAUCAAUAUUUUAUUUUGUUCGCCGAGCUAGAGUGAAACAUGGAGUUGAUCGUCAAAGCCACCUGGAACUUUCUUAUCGUUAUUGUCGGUGUUUAUCUUUACGCGGAAACAGGCCAAUCAGCACCAAUAUUCAAGCUGCCUGAUAAAAAAGUGUUGGAAGGAACUACUAUCAUCUUGCCAUGUGAACCUGCAGGUUUCCCCAAGCCAAAUAUCACGUGGUUAUUCAAUGAUGAUCCAAUCCCAUGGGAACAUUCAAUAGAUAAUGAUUAUUUGAUCCUCAACAAUGUUAGACAUGGAAGACAUGAUGGCCGAUAUACUUGUGUAGCUACCAGCAAGGCCGGUACAGUGUUCACUUCUGCAUCACUUAUCGUUCAUGACCUAUUACAGCACCCAAGCCAGACGAGGCAUUGUAUGCUUUCGUUCACUUUCUCCAGCCCAUGUCAUAACUAGCAGCAAUAUUACCUGGUUGACGAUGUUGUAUUGUCUUUGUUUGUAAGAAUAUUUUCAAGGAUAACUACAAACAAACUAUUUCUCUAUUAUACACAAAUGACGUAUCUAUUUUCCACAAGAAUGUAUCAAAGUUCCACAAGAAUGUAUCUUGCAACAUUUACAAUAAAAAAGGAAAUACAUUUGUAACAAGUUUUGACACGGGAAAACGUGUCAAAUGUGAUGGUCACAUUGGAUACUUUGAAUAGAGUAGAAGACUAUUUGGGAUUUAGUCAUUGUAAGACAGAAGAAAGUCCGUGGAUUCGGUUUGACUAAAAUAGGAUAUCUUGUAAUGCUGAUAGAAGAGAUACGUUUUUCGUCGAGGCAAGAUUUUUUUACAGUCAAAUUGAACCAGCAUAAACGAGUCUUGGUCGCAAACCCCAAAGCAAGCCUCCGUCUCUCUCUAAGAACCAGUGUUAUGGUGGCUCCAUCGGUUCAAAAACAUCACAAAACAUUGAACAGAGGAUUCUCCAUCUACAGAAAAAGUUUGGUCUCGAAAAUAAACCUUCCCCCGAAUGAGAGAAAGGAAAGAAGACUCUUUCCUUUCUCUCUCUCGGGGGAAGGUAAAGGAGACUCUGCUCGCAGGGUAACCUCAGAAUGGAAAUAUUGCGAAAAACGUAUCUCUUUCCCUACGCUGCCCAUAGGCCCAAACCAAAAAACUUUAGCUAGCAAUGUAUUUAUAUUUACCUUUAAAACUUCAUCAUUGUCAUCGAAUGUUUGACGUUUAAAAGGUUGAUGAAGCUUUAAAUAGUCGUUUUCUCUUACUUGUGAACACCACGUUGAAUCUUGUCAAACUAACCGGUUUACUAGAGUGACCACAGUUAAUCCGUGAAACUCUAAAUACUAUUUAGUACAAUUUAGUGGAAUUUAGUGCGAAAAUAGCUGGACCGUGAAGUUCCGCUAAAUAGAUUGCGACAUGCAAAUCAAGUCAUUCAGCCGUUGAUGCAUGUGCAAAUCAAGGCUGGUGAUAGUUUCCAUCUAAUUUAAUGCGUAGAAUCUCAGAAUUUAAUCCGAGAAUACUAUGAAAUACACAGGUAUUCGGACUCAAGCAAGGGGACAGGGGGAUGGGUUGUUGUGCGUAAGUAUAAAGGAAUGUGAGUGAGUGUCAAUAGAGCACGAGGGCAUAGGAAGGGAAUAGGUUUCGUAUGGAUUAUAUAGAUGGGAAGGGAUGUAGGGAAUAGGUAGCAGCGAUGAUAAAAGGGGAAAUGAGGAAAAUGUAUUAUUUAUAGGGGUAAAUUCAAGGGCAACGUGAAGAGCAGGAUAAAUACGCCGCGUAUGGUGAUGGCACGCGUGGCGGGGGGCGGUGCUGAUAUGAUGUAUCGAAAAAUAAUUUGCUUGUAAGUUUGUAUGAUGAGCUCACGUGUAGGUAGAACCGUCGGUGAAUGUGUGCUGGACCUAGCGCCCUAUCAUGCAUCUAUCGUCAGGGGUGAAGAUGCAAGAUAGCGAAGAAAAUCGACGUGUUUCAAGACUCUUAGGCCCAUGAGCUUCACUCUACACGUGGCGCCAGGUCAACGGUUCUGCCUGUGGAAUAAGCAAUUGCGGCGGAUAAAGGGAACCACAAGACUACCGAGAUGGCAGAUCAAGGUAUAGAGAAGAGCGUAUCAAGGGAAGGAAAGACCCACUGUAAGAAACGAAGAAAAACGAAGCGGAAGGUGUACAGUCUUGGGUCUUCAAGGUUUACUGGGAUUGUGGUGGAUCUUGGGAGUGGAUGAUGUAUUCAUAAUCUUGGGUGACGAUUCCAGCAGAAUAAGAGAUGGCGGCAUAUCUCCAGAAAGGACGAGGUGGUAGAUUUCCAGCAGUUUUUCAGGUGCGCAUGCACUGACUGAGUGUUGGGCCUAGG
rnacentral:misc_RNA from 1 species